GACGAACGCUGGCGGCGUGCUUAACACAUGCAAGUCGAGCGGUAAGGCCCUUUCGGGGGUACACGAGCGGCGAACGGGUGAGUAACACGUGGGUGACCUGCCCUUAGCUCUGGGAUAAGCCUGGGAAACUGGGUCUAAUACCGGAUAUGACUCCAUGACGCAUGUUGUGGGGUGGAAAGCCUUGUGCGGCUAGGGAUGGGCCCGCGGCCUAUCAGCUUGUUGGUGGGGUGAUGGCCUACCAAGGCGACGACGGGUAGCCGGCCUGAGAGGGCGACCGGCCACACUGGGACUGAGACACGGCCCAGACUCCUACGGGAGGCAGCAGUGGGGAAUCUUGCGCAAUGGGCGAAAGACCUGACGCAGCGACGCCGCGUGAGGGAUGACGGCCU
rnacentral:rRNA from 1 species